CUGGAGUCUUUAACAGUCCACUGGAAUCACGUUUUCCCGCCUCUGCUCUAGAGUCUUCUGUCCUCUUGUCCAUACGGGCCUUUACUGCUAGGUUCAAAUACUGCAUGUUUUCAUCAUGAGAAGAAACUCUGUCCUAAGACACAAAAAGAUAACAUACGGUGCAGUUAAGCAAUAUCAU